CCACAAGAAUUUACAGGAAGUGACGCUGAAAAGCAUAAGCGCGCGGGAGUUCGAUGAUUUGUUUUUAGCUAUAGUAACUUUAACCACUACAGUUCAUUAACUUUAACUAUUAACGCCUUAGACAAUAGCCCGUCAUUACACCACUGAAAUGUCACAUGAACCAGAUUUGCCUCAAGCUCUUGUUUCCCUUAAAAAUGUCGAUAACUUGCUUCGAUGUCCCAUCUGCUUUGAUUACCUGAACAUUUCAAUGAUGGCUCAGCAGUGCUCUCACACAUUUUGCUCCCUGUGUAUUCGGAAAUUCCUGUCCUACAAAUCGCAGUGUCCUGUGUGUAAUUUAGCUACUACAGAAACAGAUUUAAGGAACAACAGGAUUCUGGACGAUAUUGUUAAGAGCUUUCAAGCAACAAGGCAGCGGUUGUUGCGGUCGCCACCCAUGUCCCCAAAGCCCCCAUCUCCCUCUGCAGCGAAGAGGGUGGCUCUGAAGAGAGAAGGCACGCUCCUCAGUCACUUCCUGCGAAAGGAGCCCUCGCGUGAGGACCCCAGACCGCCACCGGCCCGCGAGGUGGAGGGAACCGCCGCGGCGGAUGAACCGCGCGCGAUCGACAGCGGCGCGGAACUGCCUCCGCCGCCGCCGGGGUCACCUGCCACCAGAUCUUCAUGUUCGCGGCCUGACCCAAGUUCCCUCCCCGCAUCGAAGGAAGGGAGUCCAGUGGUGAAAGUGGAGUGUCCCGUGUGCUUUGUGGGAAUUUCCCAGCAGUUCAUCAACAAGCACCUGGACGGCUGCCUGCGCAGGAAUGAGAAAGAGGAGAGCCUGCGGAGCUCUCUUGGGAAGAGGAAGCCUUUGGCCAAGGUAGUGUACUCCCUGCUGUCUCUGCAAGAGCUGAAGAGGAGACUGAAGGAUUUCCAGCUCUCUACCCAGGGCCCCCGGGACCAGCUGGAAAGGAGGCACCAGGAGUUUGUGCACAUGUACAAUGCACAGUGUGACUCCCUGAAUCCCAAAUCAGCACAAGACAUAGCAAAAGAGAUUGAGAAGAAUGAGAAGGCUCGCAUUCAGGCUCAGUGCAACUCCAAAUGCAUGCCCUUGUUUUCAAAAGGCCAAACUGAUAAAGAAAUUGAAGAAGUACAUUCAAAUUACAGGAAACAGCACAGCGAUGAGUUUUCUCGCCUAAUUGCUGCGGUUAAAAGUCGAUGGAAGACAUCCAAAAGAGCACAGAUUGAGCAGGAAGAUAAAGGAUGCAGUGCUGGCCAGAAAGAAUUCUCAUCAGAAUCUUUAAAUGAAGACACCCUCAAUGACGAGGUUCCAGUCACGACUUUGGAAGAGAGCAGUCUGCAGAUAGAGGUCAUUCCAACAUCACCCUUAGCUCUCAGUGAUGUGUCCACCAGCAGCUCUGUCUCAGAAGUGUUCAGCUCAGAACCUGACUUAAGCCCUGACUGCAGAGCACAGAGGCAUCAUUGCAUGAUUAGGACUUUGGUGUUUCUGUCCUGCUUGGGGUCCAGUUUGAGGCUGCUGGACCACGCUCGCAGACAUCGUAGAGCAUGAAGGCCAAGCAGAACCAUGGUCGAGGCUGCUGCUAACAUGCCCAUGAGCCAGAGAAGGGAUUUUAUUGCUUGUAAAAGCAUAAGAAGCUUGAGAAUACCGUCCAUCUGACAUGGGGACAGGAACAUGGAUAACCUGUGCUGUGGAAAGCGGAAAGCUUUUGCUUCCAGAGACGAAGAUUUGACUCAAUAUGGACAAAGCGGCAAGCGAGCGCGACAGAACUGACAAGAAUUUAAGAUUCAUUGCUGAGGGGAAAAAUAUUUUUUCCAUAUUCUGUCUUUUGUUUUUACUUUUCUUUUAACGCAUUAAAUAAUUUUUAACAUA